rnacentral:rRNA from 1 species
AUUGAACGCUGGCGGCAGGCCUAACACAUGCAAGUCGAACGAGUGGCGGACGGGUGAGUAAUGUCUGGGAAACUGCCUGAUGGAGGGGGAUAACUACUGGAAACGGUAGCUAAUACCGCAUACCAUCAGAUGUGCCCAGAUGGGAUUGGCGUGUGGGGGGGGUAACGGCUCACAAAGGCGACGAUCCCUAGCUGUUGUGAGAGGAUCACCAUACACACUGGAACGGCGGCCGGGUCCAGACUCCUAGGGGAGGCAGGGGUGGGGAAUAUUGCACAAUGGGCGCAAGCCUGAUGCAGCCAUGCCGCGUGUAUGAAGAGGGCAUUCGGGUUGUAAAGUACUUUCAGCGGGGAGGCGUUACCCGCAGAAGAGGCACCGGCUAACUCCGUGCCAGCAGCCGCGGUAAUUC